rnacentral:rRNA from 1 species
UACGUAGGUGGCUAGCGUUGUCCGGAUUUACUGGGCGUAAAGAGCGCGCAGGCGGUCGUUCAAGUCGAGUGUGAAAGCCCACGGCUCAACCGUGGAGGGUCAUUGGAAACUGGGGGACUUGAGUGCAGGAGAGAAGAGUGGAAUUCCACGUGUAGCGGUGAAAUGCGUAGAGAUGUGGAGGAACACCAGUGGCGAAGGCGACUCACUGGCCCGGUACUGACGCUGAGGCGCGAAGGCCAGGGGAGCAAACGGG